rnacentral:lncRNA from 10 species
GCCGGUAGCCAUCUUCGUGCAUAGGCAAACUUAUUGUAGCUAGACUGUACAAAGUAUAUCAAGAUAUGCCAAAUAUUGAGCUUAACUUCACCUGUUUGAGAGACGUGUUGUGAACCACUUGUCAUGGGAUAACCAAAAUUAAACCUGGAAUCGCAGAAGAAACAAAUUUUUUGAAGAAAUUGGAUGUACUUUUUUAAAAUUUUUCAUUCAACUAAAACUUUGUUAACUGUUUCUUGGUUGUGGUCUUCUCUAAAUUGUAAUCUUUGGCAUUCACUUCCAAAGUAUCCACCACUAAACUUCAUAACAUUUAUUGUGUCUCUUCAUCAUUAAACUUUGAUGAAUUUACAGAGUGUCUUUUGAAAUUAUGUUCUUGAGAAAGCCAGGGGAUUGGACGGUGUCAUGGAAAUGUCAAAGAAAAAGUGACACCUGAGAGAAAAUUUGAAAGAUGAAAGUGCUGUUAAUACGGAAACUGGUCUAAUAUGGAAAACAGGUGAACAUGGAGCUGCUUUGUUUGACUCAGGGAUGAGAGAUACCCAGGUCCUAAUUACUUGUCUUUAACUUUCCUUAGGGAGUACUAAUUUGGGAGUCAUUGUUCUAAACAAUUAAAGUGAAGUAACUGUCCUGUUUUUCUCUUUUACCCUUGUGAACGAGGAAGCUCAGGGUUAAAGUCUAUGUCUUUACUUAUACAUUUCUGUGUUGUAGGAUCUUUUAAUAAAGAUUUUCUCCUUUU